rnacentral:rRNA from 1 species
UGGGGGAUAUUGCACAAUGGGCGAAAGCCUGAUGCAGCGACGCCGCGUGGGGGAUGAAGGCUUUCGGGUUGUAAACCUCUUUCGCUAUCGAACAAGGCCCGCUUAGGGUGGGUUGAGGGUAGGUGGAGAAGAAGCGCCGGCUAACUACGUGCCAGCAGCCGCGGUAAUACGUAGGGCGCGAGCGUUGUCCGGAAUUAUUGGGCGUAAAGGGCUUGUAGGCGGCUUGUUGCGCCUGCUGUGAAAACGCGGGGCUUAACUUCGCGCGUGCAGUGGGUACGGGCAGGCUUGAGUGUGGUAGGGGUGACUGGAAUUCCAGGUGUAGCGGUGGAAUGCGCAGAUACCUGGAGGAACACCGAUGGCGAAGGCAGGUCACUGGGCCAUUACUGACGCUGAGGAGCGAAAGCAUGGGUAGCGAACAGG